GUGGGGAAUAUUGGACAAUGGGCGAAAGCCUGAUCCAGCCAUGCCGCGUGUGUGAAGAAGGUCUUCGGAUUGUAAAGCACUUUAAGUUGGGAGGAAGGGCAGUAAGUUAAUACCUUGCUGUUUUGACGUUACCGACAGAAUAAGCACCGGCUAACUUCGUGCCAGCAGCCGCGGUAAUACGAAGGGUGCAAGCGUUAAUCGGAAUUACUGGGCGUAAAGCGCGCGUAGGUGGUUCAGCAAGUUGGAGGUGAAAUCCCCGGGCUCAACCUGGGAACUGCCUCCAAAACUACUGAGCUAGAGUACGGUAGAGGGUAGUGGAAUUUCCUGUGUAGCGGUGAAAUGCGUAGAUAUAGGAAGGAACACCAGUAGCGAAGGCGACUACCUGGACUGAUACUGACACUGAGGUGCGAAAGCGUGGGGAGCAAACAGGAUUAGAAACCCGGGUAGUCC
rnacentral:rRNA from 1 species